rnacentral:misc_RNA from 1 species
AUGCGAUAAGUAGUGUGAAUUGCAGAAUUCAGUGAAUCAUCGAAUCUUUGAACGCACAUUGCGCCCUUUGGUAUUCCAAAGGGCAUGCCUGUUCGAGCGUCAUUUGUACCCUCAAGCUUUGCUUGGUGUUGGGCGUCUUGUCUCUAGCUUUGCUGGAGACUCGCCUUAAAGUAAUUGGCAGCCGGCCUACUGGUUUCGGAGCGCAGCACAAGUCGCACUCUCUAUCAGCAAAGGUCUAGCAUCCAUUAAGCCUUUUUUCAACUUUUGACCUCGGAUCAGGUAGGGAUACCCGCUGAACUUAA